rnacentral:lncRNA from 1 species
CCCUCUCCAUCUCAACCUUAGACAAACAAGACAAACCCUAUAGACACCAACAGUCGUUCCCCCUCCUUUUGAGAGUUCAAGAUCUCUCUCAAUCUUGGAGAGCAAGCCUACUGCCGCCCCAACCUUCCCCCAAAACACAAUUCCUUAGCUUUGAUCUUUUUGUUUCAUACACAUUUGGACAUUCACAUACUCCCAUAUAUUCACUCUAACAUAUGGGAGAAUCUGGAGAUUUGGACAGAAGUUAAUAAAGCAAAGGUGAGGCUUGAGGAGUACAUUUUGGCAGUUCUUUCCUUUUUUUAAAAAAAAAAACUCGAAAAAAUUUAAAAAAAAAUACAUAUCUCCACCUCUUCACUUUUCGAUUCUGAAUUUUGUCCAAGGAUGAAAUUUGAUUGAAAUAUGGGUCUGAAUCCGUAAUUGGUUGAGUUUUCCCGGCGCCGUUUGAGUGUUAUUACUGAUCUGCGGUUCUAUUUGAAUUCAAUAGCUGGUUCUAAUCGAAAUUUUGGAGUCAAAUAUAGAGUAUCGACUGAUUACUUCUACUACUAUUAAGGAAAUAUUCACUGGAACAGGUUCAUUCCUCCCCUCUGUUAUUUCUUUACUUAUUCAUUUGCUGUAUUUAUGGUGAAUUGAGGUCCAUUUAUCUUUCCUUUCCUAAUUUGGUACUACUUUACUCCUUACUUUAUCAAUUUCUAUGAUGUACUUAAUUGUGCUUAGUUCGUUUAUUGCUUAACAUAAAUGUCCAGUUAUAAGCUAUUUGUUUGUAUAAUUCUUAAAGUGUGUUUGUUGGGGGUGAGAACGUUUGUGCAGAAAAGUAUUCCGAAAUCAACGAUUGGUAAAUUCAGUAACAUGGAUUAUUAAAGCAAAUGAUCGAGAGAUAUCACACGUACAUAAUAGGUGUUGAACUUGGUUUAAUUAGCAAGGGUAAAUUAUUUCCUUCAUGUUAGAAAAGUCAAAUGACUUUGGAUAUUUAAUAAAUUUUACAUCAUUUCAUCUUUUUAAUCAAGAAUCCCUAGGAGCAUGCUAGGCCGACCACACUUGGGUAGGCAAGUGUUAGGAUUUUUGUUUGUUUUGAGGCGAGAGGUCGUUCCCUUAGUUAAAUUUAUACGGGAAUGCCCCGAAUGAGUUGUAUAUAUUUUAUCCGAGGUAUGCCCCGAAGUGAAGGUAAAUGGAGGCCAAAAGUAGAAAAUUGUAGUAUUUUUAUUUUAUUUUCAUUUUUCUUUUUCUUUUAUUUAGGUGGGGACGACCUCGAGCUUCUUAUGUGCUUAUUUUCCUUUUUUUGUAUUUUCUACCUCAAUUGAAUAUUUUAAAAUCCGACUAGAUCAAGUAUGCAACCGUGCUAGUUACGGGACUUGGGGAGUGCCUAACGCCUUCUCCCCGAGUAAAAUAAACCCCCUUACCCGAACUCUGGUGCAGACUUAGUUUUGGAGUCAAAAGUAUUUUAAAAGGAAAAUUAUUUUAAAAACGGUGACCUGGCACACUGAAACUAAUGUCAGGUGACGACUCUGAGUUAUUUCCUAUUGAACACAAUUUUGUCACUUUUUAAUUAAAACCCCUUUUGAGCUUUGCGAAAUCUUUUUAUUUAUUUAAGAGGUUAGUGAGGAUGUAAAAAAAGGGGCGUGACACCAACAAAAAAAUUAGUGAUGAUGAUCACAAAUUUUCAAUGCAAGUUCGUUGGAAGUUUCUAUAAUCAACUACAUACUUAGGAUAAUUUCAUAUGAUAGGGUCUGAGGAGGGUAGAGUGUACACAGACCUUAUGCUUACCUUGUGAAGAUACAGAGGUUAUUUUCAAUAGACACCCUCGAUUUAGGAAAGCAUAAGGAAUACAUUAAUGAAAAGCAAGACAUGAUGGAUAGCACCGAGAAGCCAUGUACGUAAAAGAGGAUAAAAAUAGCAAGAUAGAUAGAUGACCAAAAUGGAAGAAUGACAAGUAGUCAUAGAAACCCAUUACCAACAGAAUGUGAUAGUACGUACAAAUACUACUGGUAUGAACAAUCUAGACCACCUAACCUACUACUUUAUUUCUCGAUCUCUAUACCUCCCUAUCAAGGGUCAUGUCCUCGGCCAGCUGUAGUUGCGUCAUGUCAUGCCUCACCUCUCUCCAAUUAUUCUUCGGUCUACCUCUACCUUUCCUUAGGCCCUCCAAUGUCAAUCUCUCACAACUCUUCACCAGGGUAUAUAUGCUUCUCCUCCUCACAUGUUCAAAUAACCUAAGCUUCGCUUCCCAUAUCUUGUCCUCAAUAGGGGCCACACCCACCUUGUUGCGAAUAUCCUCAUUCCUAAUCCUAUCUAACCUAGUGCCCGCACAUCCAUCUCAACAUUUUCAUCUCUGCUACCUUCAUCUUCUAGACAUGGGCGCUCUUGACUGGCGAACACUCAUCAACAUACAACAUAGUAGGUUUGACCACCACUCUGUAAAACUUACCUUUAUGUUUUGGUGGUACCUUUUUGUCACACAAAAUGCCAUAAGCGAGUCUCCAUUUCAUCUAUCCCACCAAAAUACGAUAUGUGACAUCUUCAUUAAUCUCCCCAUCCCCUUGAAUAAUACACCAAAGGUACUUAAAACUUCCUCUCCUAGGGAUGACGUGUGAAUCUAGCCUCACCUCCCCUUCCACUCCCUGAGUCACACCACUGAACUUUCAUUCCAAGUAUUCUGUCAUGGUCCUACUCAACUUCAAACCUUUAGACUCUAGGGUCUGCAUCCACACCUCCAACUUUGUGCAAACACCAUCUCGUGUCUCGUCAAUUCAUAUAAUAUCAUCUGAAAAUAACAUGCACCAUGACAACUCCCAUCGGAUGUGGCACGUCAGCACAUCAAUUGCUAGGGCAAACAAAAAGGCCUGAGUGUCGACCCCUAGUGCAACCCCACCAUAAUCGAAAAUGGUCUGAGUUCCCUUCCACUGUCAUCAACUAGGUCUUCGCUCUAUCAUACAUGUCCUUAAUUGUCCUAAUGUAGGAAGCAUGUACUUCUCUAGCCUUUAAAUAUCUCCGUAAAACCUUCUUGAGGACUUUAUCGUAAGCCUUUUCUAAGUCGAUGAACUCCAUAUACAAGUCCCUCUUCCUCUCCAUAUACCGCUCCAUCAAUCUCCUAACAAGGUGAAUGCUUCUGUAAUCGGACUCCCCAGCAUAAACCCAAAUUGGUUGUCAAAAAUUGACAUAUUUCUCCUCGCCCUUAGCUCUGCCAGCCUCUCCCAAUCUUUCAUAGUAUGUCUAAGUAGCUUGAUACCCCGAUAAUUGUUACAAAUUUGGAUAUCACUCUUGGUCUUGUAUAAAGGAACCAUUGUUCUCCACCUCCACUCUUCGGGCAUCUUCUUUGUCUUAAAAAUGAGAUUAAAUAACCUAGUGAGACACUCCAAGCCCGCCCUGCCCCUACUGUUCCAAAACUCCACUUGGAUUUUAUUCUGCCCGGUCGCUUUGCCCUUGCUCAUCUUACGCAUAGAGCAUUCGACCUCCUCAACUUUAAUCCGCCUACAAUACCUAAAGUUACAACGACUCUUGGAGAGUUCCAAAUCACCCAAUAUAAUAUUCAUACGCCCCUCAAGAGAGUAUGGAAGCAAGUCUGCCACCUUCGAUGGAUAUGCCCCUCAUCUAACAAAACUCUACUUUCUUCGUCCUUGAUGUACUUAACUUGGUCCAAGUCUCAAGCCUUCCUUUUUCUCACCUUGGCUAGCCUGAAGAGCCUCUUAUUCCCCCCUCCCCCCGCCCUUGAGUUCUUCAUACAAAUGACCAAAUAUUGCAGUCUUAGCCGUCGUGACUGCUAGUUUCACCUCAUUCUUCACAACUUAUGCCAAUCCUUAUUUGUCCUCUUCUAUUCCUCAUCUACACUAUUCAUUAGAUUUAGAUACGCCGCUUUAUUGGUUUCCACUCUGCCUUGAACCUCUCCAUUCCACCACCAGUCUUUUUUGUGACUACUAGAGUAGCCAUUUGACACCCCUAAUACAUCUUUAUCAGUUUUCUUAAUACACUAAGCAGUCGUGGUCCACAUAACUCUCGUGUCCCCAUUACUCCUCCAAGCCCCCAUACUUAACAGCUUAACCCUCAACUCCUGCAAUUUGUCUUCCGUCAUGUCUCAUCAAUCGAUUCUAUGUUGGCCAUAUACAACUUUAUUCCUCCUCUUUUUUGUGAUCUCAAGGUCUAUGACCAGUAUCCUAUGAAGGGUCGAGAGGUUCUCACUCGAGAUGACUGGUAUUUUGUUUGUUUGCACUGUUUUAGUAUUUAAUUAUGCACCUAAAUCCUUAGUAUUCUAUAGAGGGCUUUCUUUAAGGAAGCCACUAAUUAUAGCCAUGUUGGAUGUUGUCCGAAAAAACUUGCCAAUGGACGUUAUUGAAUAUCUGGGUGAACUUUCUGAUGGCCAUUGGCCGAUAAUGUGGUUCGUCGAUAAAUUAGUGAAACUAACAAGAAAAUUAGUGAUGAUGAUCACAAAUUUUCAAUGCAAGUUUGUUGGAAGUUUCUAUAAUACAACUACAUACUUAGGAUAAUCUCAUAUAAUAAGGUCUGAGGAGGGUAGAGUAUACGCAGACCUUACGCUUACCUUGUGAAGAUAGAGAGGUUGUUUUCAAUAGACAUCCUUGGUUUAGGAAGGCAUAAGCAACACAUCAAUGAAAAGAAAGACAAGAGGGAUAGCACCGAGAAGCCAUGUACGUAAAAGAAGCAUAAAAAUAGCAAGAUAGUAAGAUGACCAAAAUGGAAGAAUGACAAGUAGUCAUAGAAACCCAUUACCAACAGAAUGUGAUAGUACGUACAAAUACUACCAGUAUGAACAAUCUAGACCACCUAACCUACUACUUUAUUUCUCGAUCUCUACACCUUCCUCUCAAGGGUCAUGUCCUCGCCAGCUGUAGUUGCGCCAUGUUAUGCCUCACCUCUCCCCAUUUAUUCUUCGGUCUACCUCUACCUUUCCUUAGGCCCUCCAACGUCAAUCUCUCACAACUCUUCACCGGGGUAUAUAUGCUUCUCCUCCUCACAUGUUCAAAUAACCUAAGCCUCGCUUCCCAUAUCUUGUCCUCAAUUGGGUCCACACCCACCUUGUUGCGAAUAUCCUCAUUCCUAAUCAUAUCUAACCUAGUGCCCGCACAUCCAUCUCAACAUUUUCAUCUUUGCUACCUUCAUAUUCUAGACAUGGGCACUCUUGACUGGCGAACACUCAGCAACAUACAACAUAGUCGGUUUUACCACCACUCUGUAGAACUUACCUUUAUGUUUUGAUGGCACCUUUUUGUCACACAAAAUGCCAUAACCGAGUCUUUAUUUCAUCUAUCCCGCCGAAAUACGAUAUGUGACAUCUUUAUUAAUCUCCCCAUCCCUUGAAUAAUACACCAAAGGUACUUAAAACUUCCUCUCCUAGGGAUGACGUGUGAAUCUAGCCUCACCUCCCCUUCCACUCCCUGAGUCACACCACUGAACUUUCAUUCCAAGUUUUCUGUCAUGGUCCUACUCAACUUCAAACCUUUAGACUCUAGGGUCUGCAUCCACACCUCCAACUUUGUGCAAACACCAUCUCGUGUCUCAUCAAUUCAUAUAAUAUCAUCUGAAAAUAACACGCACCAUGACAACUCCCAUCGGAUGUGGCGCGUUAGCAUAUCAAUUGCUAGGGCAAACAAAAAGGCAUGAGUGUCGACCCCUAGUGCAACCCCACCUUGAUCGAAAAUGGUUUGAGUUCCCUUCCACUAUCGUCAACUAGGUCUUCGCUCUAUCAUACAUAUCCUUAAUUGUCCUAAUGUAGGAAGCAUGUACAUCUCUAGCCUCUAAAUAUCUCUGUAAAACCUUUUUGAGGACUUUAUCGUAAGCCUUUUCUAAGUUGAUGAACUCCAUAUGCAAGUCCCUCUUCCUCUCCCUAUACCGCUCCAUCAAUCUCCUAACAAGGUGAAUGCUUCUGUAAUCGGACUCCCCAACAUAAACCCAAAUUUGUUGUCAAAAAUUGACAUAUUUCUCCUCGCCCUUAGCUCCGCCAGCCUCUCCCAAUCUUUCAUAGUAUGUCUAAGUAGCUUGAUACCCCGAUAAUUGCUGCAAAUUUGGAUAUCACUCGUGGUCUUGUAUAAAGGAACCAUUGUUCUCGACCUCCACUCUUCGGGCAUCUUCUUCGUCUUAAAAAUGACAUUAAAUAACCUAGUGAGACACUCCAAGCCCGCCCUGCCCCUACAAUUGAUAACUAGGGAUUUUGCCGCAUUUCAUGCUCCUUCUUGCUUACGCUUUGAUUAUAAAUUCAUACAAAAUAGUCCCUAAAGGCUCAUAAGUUGUGCUUGAUUGCAGGGUUGAUCAACAAAGUGACGAGAUAUCAAAGAUCGGCUCAAAAGGAGUGAAACCUGCACAAGUACCAAAGACAAGACAAACUCAGGACAAACAGGCCUUGUGCGGCCGCAGUACACUUUGUGCGGUCCGCACUAGGGAGAUUUAGAGACUUGGAUUUGAAGGAAUCAAAGUAGUUCGGCGACAAUAGAUAUUGUGCGGACCACACUGCAAACACCGUGGCCGCACCACCAUUUCAUGCGGUCCUCAGAAGCAAUGUUCAGAGAGAUGUCAAGCGCCAGGGUUCAAGCCUGUGCAGUCCGUAGUCCAUUCUGCGCGGACCACAUUGGAAGCCUCGACGGCCGCGACCCAUUCUGCGUGGUCCGUGGAGCCUGGGUUCAGAGAGUUGGAAUUGCAGAGUCAAGAGCCUAGUGAGGCCGCACACCAUUUUGUGCAGUCCACACUGAUCCCGCAGGGGCAUUUUUGUCCAAUUUUUCCAAAUUAGUAUAAAUAGAAAUUUUUUUCCAUUUUUAGGGCAUCGGAUAUUAUCAGCUAUUUUCUGAACUGAGCUGCGCUCGUGAGAAGACUAUCUGUAGCUAUUUUGGGCAUUUUAACUUACUUUUAACGAUAGAAUCUUUGUAUUUACUUUAGUGUUUAAUUAAUAUGCUUUUAU